GCCAGUAGCUGCUGAAAUCGACACGUGGUUACUGGUUCAGGACACAACGUGACCGUGUUCUUUAAAACUUUUGAUAGUUUAUUGCAGGAACACAUCAGAAUCCAGAGCAGCAGCAGUGUGCGUCACAUGGACGGGCCGGAGCCAGAGGGCAGAGGACAGAGGACAGAGGAAGGCCUGUGGCCUCGAGGCUGCUCCUCGGCCUUGGCUCCGGCCCGAACACCCCCGCUGCCAGUCCCUGCCUACAGGAGAACCGUCAGAAAACAACAUUAAAACAACAAGUGGCCUUACCGGGACGUGGUUUGUUGGAGACCGUGCUGAGUGUCACACUUUCACUUUCGAGGAAGAAGCUGAGAAGCAGCGCAGAGCGAACCCAGUAAACAUUUCCUCGACCUGCGUCGAGAGGAAGACGUCCAAUCUACGUCGCGUCACGUCGUGACCUUAAUUCGACAGUUUUUCAACAUGAUAAAAUGAUAUCUGAGUAAAUAUGACAUAAAAAAUAAUGCAUUUUAGAACGGGUUAACUGAUUAAAUACUGCCAGCAAACAUUUUCUCAACCCGCAUCCAGAUGACGACGUCCAGUCGACGUCGCGUCACGACUUUAUUUAGACUUUUUUUCGACAUGAUAACAUUAGGGGGGGAUACGAUCUCAAAGAAAACAUAUUUAACUGAAAAAAACACUGUCAAGAAUGAUUUCAAGCUAUCUGGUGCUGUGUGGAGAUAAAGACAUCCAGUCAACGUCCAGUCACAUCAGGACGCUGAUUUCACGUCUGCUUAACGUCGGGCAGCCAGGUUGAUUUGACGUCUAUCUGAGGGGCUGAGAUGACCGCGGAUGACCGACGUCAUUUCAACGUCUUUUAGAUGGCAUCGGUUUACGUUGUUAAAAAGUAUUCAAAAUGAUGGAAACAUGUUUGUGAGCGGAAGAAAACAAUGCAGUACCAUCAUGUCUAUUGGCAAUGUGGGCUUAAAUGUUUGUUAUUGUAGCAUCCAUCUAGGAACUAUUUUCCCUCGCGUAGUGAACGCACCUGGCUUCCGGAGCAUGCCGCGGCGGCGCAGCGGCAGAGGAAUUAGUUUGGAGGAGAAGACAAACACGUGGGAAAGAAGUUUACAAGAACUUUAAUUGGAAAAUAAGUUUCCUGGCCUCAGCCCUAGUUCCUCCUCCCCCACCAUAACAAGCUAGCUAGCAUGUGCCGACACUGUGAUGGAGGAACAAACCUUUCUCUCAGUGGAUGCUGAUGAAGACAGUGUGUCGCAGGACCUUUCUGUUCAAAGCCCGAAGAUCUACAACAUCAAAGCGAACACGUCAGAGGAUCCAGACAACAUCGGCAUUGUGGUGGAGGGCGUGAAAGUUCUAACUGCUCUGGGUAACUUUCCAAGGGCCUGCCCCCUGCUGGUUGGGUUGACGUAUGCUGUGAAUCUUGCCUAUCCAAAGGAGCUCAGGUGCACGUUUGAAGUGUUUCAGAAACUUCUCCUUGAGCUGGAUAGUUCAAAGCUCUCCCCAAAAGUGAACAGCCUCAGGAAUAAGCUACUGGCUUAAGAAAGGGGACCCUUGCUAAUCAAAAGGGAAUUGACAAGUCACUGUUAAAACUGACACACAAGACAUCGUGAAAUGCUUGAGUUUCAGUGAAGUUAGUCAACAUUAGGGCAAUUUCAGUCAAGUUUGGAUUUCUGCGUGUGCAUUUUUUCUUGAAGUACAUUACAAGUCCAAUGUAAAUGUUGAAUUUUUCUGUGUUAUUACACUACAAUGUUGUUAAAUGCUUCCAUGCCAGUGGAUGGCACCACACAUUCAAGAACCACCCUUUCUAAGGACAGACCCAUUGUUGUCAUAUGUGGUAAUGUGGCCUGUUGCAUGGCUUUGCAUCUGUUCAGGUUGAGGUACAUACAUGUCUGUCACAUGACCCUCGUUGUGACAUUUUGUGGACAGUCCAUGCUGGCUUCACCAUUGAAGGGUGAUGAUCUGCACGCUGCAAAACUCUGGUGUGUUGUAAUAUAUCAUUUGCACUUUAAAUAAUCUGUUUUUUUAUUGAGUUCUGUCUUUCAACUUAUUGUUAGACUAGGAAAAUAAGUGUCACGGAGUCAAGGGCCCCAAUACAGUGACAUGAUGUAGCAUAAAAAUACAGCAAAAGAAAAUAAAGGUGUUCAUGCCACAUGGGUCUCACCCAUCUCUCACAUUAUGUCUUGCAGAAUGGCUGAGGUGUUUCCCCAGUCAACCUUUACACGCAUACCCGUUCUGUGCUCUGCAUGGCCCUUAAACAUAAGGUGGAUUUUUAUGUGAUUGAUAAAAAGAAAAUGUUGAGUCCUAGUUAAUUGUUGUUCAUGUAAUGGUUCUAAAAAAUCAUAUUAACCAUACUUUGACCGGAGUGGCAUCAUGUUUUUGACUUGAUACUGAUAUAUGUAUAU